GUAACAUGCACAUAAAUAUUUUUAAAAUAAACUAGACAUCAUCAGAUAUCCAUAAAAAAAGAUUCACAUUUUAUCAUUUUUCUAUGAUUUUAUAUGAAUUUCCAAAAUUGCAGCCAUUUUCAAUGCAUUUUAUUCGAAUUUGAGUUUUCGCUUUUACCGAACGACCCUUGAACUUUUCAAAGUUUCACAACUAAGCACCUGUGUUUUACACUUAGAACCCUAAAACUAAAAUAAAAAAGCAAUUGGGUCCCUGGGCUGGCUGGCGGCACGGGAAGGCGUGAUUCCGGUGAGGUUAGGCCGCGGGGUCGUGGGUUGAGGGCAGGAGGGUGACAAGGGACUCAUCCGCGACUAGUCCGGUGUCGGGCUCGGGGUCGGAGGUGGGCUGGCAACGGCUACGACGGAGUAGUGGCAGCGUUGCCGCUUUAACUCAGUCUCCGGCGAGGGUGACGGUGGCGGUGAUGGUCUAUGAGGCUGGGGAGGUGGAGUGAUGGUCAGGGAAGACACUGGUAUGCUCGGGUGGCGACGGUGGUGGUUGGAAGUGGGGGCUCGUCGAGCGGCGUCAAUGGCGGACGGCGGGGGUGAGUGCGAGCGGCCGGCUGUGGCGGAACCAUCCAAAUUAGCUUGACUAAAAUGCACUUGAGUCGCCUGACACGUGAUCAUGCACUUUAAGCAAGCCAACUUGGUCGUCCGUCGGAUUUCAUCCGAUAAACCACUUACUCACGAUUGAGAAGCAUUGCUCACACGAAGGUGAGUGGGCACAGAGAUUACAGCAUUCCCAUCACAUUAACAUAGUUCAACAAUUUAUUACAUCAGAGUUUUCGAAAUUCAAACAAGUUUGCAAGGUUGUAAACAACAAGAAGGUAAAACAACGGAAGAUACACAACGAU
rnacentral:lncRNA from 1 species